UUGGGCAAUGGGCGAAAGCCUGACCCAGCAACGCCGCGUGUGCGAUGAAGGCCUUCGGGUCGUAAAGCACUUUUCUGGGAGAUGAGAAAGGACAGUAUCUCAGGAAUAAGUCUCGGCUAACUACGUGCCAGCAGCCGCGGUAAAACGUGGGAGGCGAGCGUUAUCCGGAUUCACUGGGCGUAAAGCGCGUGCAGGUGGUUCGGUAAGUUGGGCGUGAAAUCUCCUGGCUCAACUGGGAGAGGUCGUCCAAUACUACCGAACUUGAGAGCAGAAGAGGAAGAUGGAAUUCCCGGUGUAGUGGUGAAAUGCGUAGAUAUCGGGAGGAACACCAGUGGCGAAGGCGAUCUUCUGGUCUGUUUCUGACACUCAGACGCGACAGCUAGGGUAGUAAACGGGAUUAGAGACCCCGGUAAUCCUAGCCGUAAACGAUGUGAACUUGGCGUUGGUGGGUUAAACUCCAUCAGUGCCGAAGCAAACGCGAUAAGUUCACCGCCUGGGGACUACGGCCGCAAGGUUA
rnacentral:rRNA from 1 species